rnacentral:tRNA from 1 species
GGAGGAGUGCGGCGAAUUUGGUAAGCCACCAGGUUGCUAACCUGUGCCGCCUAAAAAGCGGCUUGUGGGUUCGAAUCCCACCUCCUCCG